UGCACAUACAUUUUAUUCCAUUCCUGUUACAUUUAUAUAGUAUAUUAUAUAUCGAUUGUGUGUAUUAUAUACAGGCCCACCUCAAACAUAGCAAUAAUGAAAGUGUCAAUGACACUGUAGCUCACCACAAAAAAAGGACACAAAUGAGUGAGUGAGAAGAAGUCCGUUUUA